GUGAGUAACACGUGGGUGACCUGCCCUCGAGCGGGGGAUAACUGCCCGAAAGGGUGGCUAAUACCGCAGAUGUUGCAUCGUCGGAGGUGUAACUGAACUUGAGGGGCUCGGGGAGGGGCCCGCGGUCGAUUAGCUUGCUGGUGGGGUAAUGGCCUACCAGGGCUUCGAUCGAUAGCUGGUCUGAGAGGAUGAUCAGCCAGACUGGGACUGCGAACGGCCCAG
rnacentral:rRNA from 1 species